rnacentral:rRNA from 1 species
AGUGAAUAGAUCCCGGGUAGUCCAUGCCGUAAACGAUGUCGACUAGGUGUUGGGGAACUUGAUUCCUUAGUGCCGCAGCUAAACGCAUUAAGUCGACCGCCUGGGGAGUACGGCCGCAAGGUUAAAACUCAAAUGAAUUGACGGGGGCCCGCACAAGCGGUGGAGCAUGUGGUUUAAAUUCGAUGCAACGCGAAGAACCUUACCUACUCUUGACAUCCAGAGAAUCCUGUAGAGAUACGGGAGUGCCUUCGGGAAUUCUGAGACAGGUGCUGCAUGGCUGUCGUCAGCUCGUGUCGUGAGAUGUUGGGUUAAGUCCCGCAACGAGCGCAACCCUUGUCCUUAGUUGCCAGCACGUAAUGGUGGGAACUCUAGGGAGACUGCCGGUGACAAACCGGAGGAAGGCGGGGACGACGUCAAGUCAUCAUGGCCCUUACGAGUAGGGCUACACACGUGCUACAAUGGUCGGUACAGAGGGUUGCAAAGCCGCGAGGCCCAGCCAAUCUCAAAAAGCCGAUCGUAGUCCGGAUUGGAGUCUGC